rnacentral:rRNA from 1 species
UACGUAGGGUGCGAGCGUUGUCCGGAAUUAUUGGGCGUAAAGCGCGCGCAGGCGGUCCUUUAAGUCUGAUGUGAAAUCUCGCGGCUCAACCGCGAGCGGUCAUUGGAAACUGGGGGGACUUGAGUGCAGAAGAGGAAAGUGGAAUUCCGACGUGUAGCGGUGAAAUGCGUAGAGAUGUGGAGGAACACCAGUGGCGAAGGCGACUUUCUGGUCUGUAACUGACGCUGAGGCGCGAAAGCGUGGGGAGCAAACAGG